UACGGAGGGUGCAAGCGUUGUCCGGAAUCACUGGGCGUAAAGGGCGCGUAGGCGGCUCAUGAAGGCUGUGGUGAAAGUCUGGGGCUCAACCUCGGAUCGGCCGUGGCGACUCGUGGGCUGGAGCACUGUAGAGGCGGGUGGAAUUCCGGGUGUAGCGGUGGAAUGCGUAGAGAUCCGGAAGAACACCGGUGGCGAAGGCGGUCUGCUGGGCAGUUGCUGACACUGAGGCGCGACAGCGUGGGGAGCAAACAGG
rnacentral:rRNA from 1 species